CGGAGACAGGUGCUGCAUGGCUGUCGUCAGCUCGUGUCGUGAGAUGUUGGGUUAAGUCCCGCAACGAGCGCAACCCUCGGCCUUAGUUGCCAUCAUUUAGUUGGGCACUCUAAGGCGACUGCCGGUGAUAAGCCGGAGGAAGGUGGGGAUGACGUCAAGUCCUCAUGGCCCUUACAGGUUGGGCUACACACGUGCUACAAUGGCGGUGACAGAGGGACGCAAAAGGGCGACCUUUCGCAAAUCUCAAAAAGCCGUCUCAGUUCGGAUUGGGGUCUGCAACUCGACCCCAUGAAGUUGGAAUCGCUAGUAAUCGCAGAUCAGCACGCUGCGGUGAAUACGUUCCCGGGCCUUGUACACACCGCCCGUCACACCAUGGGAGUUGGCUUUACCUGAAGACGGUGCGUUAACCCGCAAGGGGGACAGCCGGC
rnacentral:rRNA from 1 species